AGUUCUGGAUGCUUCUUGUCCCCAAUGGCUGUGGAAAAUUCAUCCUCAAAAGAUUGUUCUUGCCGUGUGCAUUGAUUGCUUGUACCUUUCUUUGUCUGAGAGAGUGCCUGUUUUCUUUUUUAAAGCAUGAAUUUCCAAUUUAAAGCAUAGAUACAAAGCUCAUUUUCUCUAUUCAAGUAAGGAAUCAUAGGCAGAAGCCUUCGGGUUGUAUAACAUCACAUAGUUUGUUACUACUUACUUUUAUUUAAAAUUUCAAUUAUACAUUGGGCUGGGUGCUUCUUAUCAUAACCAAGUUGGCUUUUAGUUAUAAUAACAAGUGAAUUAAAUAGACAAUCACUAGCAUUUCACUUCGGUUACUACUUACUCACUCAAAAAUAAAGUUACCGAUCACUCACCGACUUU